UACAGAGGUCCCAAGCGUUACUGAGAAUCACUGGGUUUAAAGGGUGCGUAGGUGGCGCGUUAAGUCCGUUGUGAAAUCCCUGGGCUCAACCCAGGAACUGCUUCGGAUACUGGCGUGCUUGAGGCCGGUAGGGGUCACUGGAACAGACGGUGGAGCGGUGAAAUGCGUAGAUAUCGUCUGGAACGCCGGUGGUGAAGACGGGUGACUGGGCCGGUUCUGACACUGAGGCACGAAAGCGUGGGGAGCGAACGGG
rnacentral:rRNA from 1 species